GGCCGGGAAACCAAAGGAUUUGAAGAUCAUGAAGAAGCUACUUGUCUGCCUAGCCGUGCUGGCUGUCACUCUAGCCUUCGAUCUGGACGACGCAGAACCGGAGGAGAUUGCACCGUAUACUGUUAUUAAAG